UCAUGCAUAAACACACACAACUGGAACCUAAAUUUCUUUCUCUGGGGGAAAGGGAGGGCUCAUGCUCACAGUCUCGUAGAUGUCUUUGAUGAAGGGCAGAUCCUCGGGAUGAUAGAAGUCAAACAGCGAACGGCCAACCAUAUCCUGCGGUAGGUAGCCGAAGUAUUGGACUACGUCGGGAUCAACAUGAGAUAAAUGGCACGUCGAGGUGUGGCGAGUCGUGAAUACCGAAGAUAUUAUUGUUUCUUCUGGCGCUGCGGAUAACGACAAGGUCGGGGUCAUUCUCUCUCGUUGCGGGAUACCUUUGAAGAAACUGAUCCAUAAAAUUGUUGCAUACCUUUAAACCGCUCUUCCUGGGGGGAAGCGAUGCCGCUGGUGAUCUGAUCGGCAAGGGUGACCUUAUCCUUCGGGUGGACGUAAUCGAUGAAGGACCUGCCGAUCCAGGCGUCCUUGAAGUAGCCGAGGGCGGUGCAUAUCGAAGGGGUUGUAUACAACACGAGGCCGUCGUGCAUCGAAAUCACUGCGCAAAAUCCUUCCUACACAGGAUACACCCGUGAUGUAUGCAUAUACUAACGUUGGCUUGAGACGUGGAAUCAUCAGGAGGGAUCAUCCGCGAAGCGAGUCCUGCUGCAUCAGGAUCUGUGACGAUGUCGCCGUUGUGCUCCCCAGGAUCUGUUGCAUCCACCAAUUCCACAAUGGUUACCUCUUCUUGCAUUACGUCAAAAGAAAUGCUCAUUGUUAUGCGUUGCCCAGAACAUCUGAUGCACAUUUUAAUUUAUACAUGCAUCUUUGCGAGCUCCUAAUUAUGGGAUCCAACAAGAAAGCUGAGCUUCUUACAAAAAAAAGCUGAUUUUACAAAAAGUUUGCGGCGCAUAUAUAACAAUGUA